GAAAGAACCAAGAAUAGUAAUAAUAUUAUAUACGUUGAACUUCUUUCGCACCGUACGUGACGAACAGUGCUAACCGGAGCUUAGGACACCAACACUAAACAUGAAAAAAAACCCCAGCAAACACGACUCGGUGUUAUUAUGGAUUGUGGUGUAGAGAAAAUAGACUGACCCCGUUCGUAGGGCGGGCUGGCUGCCACCUGCUUGCUUGUCUGCAGCUCACUCACUCUCUCUGAAACUUCCUUAUCGUGAUCGUUUAUGCACCGUCCUCAUCAAAUAUAAACCCAUCGAGAAGACGAGUAGGUUUUCUAAAAGGCCACGGGAAAUCAUUGCACAACUGUAACUCUGUCUCCCUCUGCGUGUAUAUUGAUACUGAAUGUAUUUAAAACUUCGGGAGCAGGAACACGUUUUUUAAUCGGUCUCCACGUCGUAUGGAUGCUGCUAUUGUAUCACUGAGCCAUUGUUUAUCCACUGCUGGAUGAAAGUCCUCUGGCCACGCCGCCGUCAUCCGUUCCACGUGGCGGUCACGCGCCUGCACAUUGGCCGAUCCCAGUCGCUCCAUCUCCUUGCAACGGACGUCCGAGUAUAUUGAUUGAGACAAAUCACUUGAACGUUCUCAGUCAUGAAAGUAAUCGAUGUAUAUUUAAGCGGCGUUAUUUAAAUUUGCGCGUAAUUACACAGCGCGGGACUGUAUUCCGUGUUUGUGACGAUGCGUUGCGUAGUGAAAGGGUCAUACAUAAUUCGUUUAUCAUUCUUUGUUUCGUCAACAUUUUUUAAACUAUAGUCAAGCGCCUGGAGUUGCGGGCGUUCUAUAAAUAUGUAUAAAAUAUGAGAUGAUAUUAUAGUUUAGUGGUGCUCGUAAUAAAUGCCGUAACAAUGAUUGUAUUCGGUAAAACUAUUUAAAAAAUUCACGAAAUUUGACUUAAACAUCCCGGUUAGCAUCGAGACUCCGUGUGGACCUUCCUAGGUAAAUAAAUAAUAUUAUAAACUAUUAAUAUUUGUAUUAUUACUACUUACCAAUAGUCAUUGAAGUACAUAACGUGGCACGCGUUCUAUCACGAGAUACAAAACAAUCCCGUACCGAGUUGGAGUAUUACCGCACAGGUUCGUGAGAGUUGGUGACAGCGGGGCCUUGGGGGUAGGGGAGGGCCUUCAUCCAGCAGUGGAGCGACCGAGGAUCAUGCCGAUGACGUAGAGUAACUAGCCCGAAGUGGGCCUUCAUCCAGCAGUGGAGCGACCGUGCAUCAUGACGAUGACGUAGAGUAACUAGCCCGAAGUGGGCCUUCAUCCAGCAGUGGAGCGACCGUGCAUCAUGACGAUGACGUAGAGUAACUAGCCCGAAGAGGGCCUUCAUCCAGCAGUGGAGCGACCGUGGCUCAUGACGAUGGUAUUGAUGAUGAUAGUGCAAAGAAAAUCGCCCGAAGCUCCUUGAUGCGUGUUCUGCAUAGAACGGCAGUGCUGUUUGGCACGAUGCCCGAAGUUUCGCUCCAAACAACAACAAAGUGGAAUAUGAAACUUGAAUUGAAAUCGCGCGGCGGGUUUUCUCCGGCUGCUCCGAUGACCACCUCCUCCCACUUCGAUAAUAACUGCAAUCUCGUCAUCCCCGAAUCGCCUGGAAACAUCUCAAGGGUUCUGUCUUCACGACUGAAGUUUUAAACGGUUUUCGCAGUCGAAGCGUCAUCAAGAUAACGCUCCCGCAGAGCGGAAGCUAUCAGGCUGAUCAAUCAGUUGGUCAUUUCCAGAGUCAAGCAACGCGCGGGUCGUCAUUGCGAGAGGUUGAUGUACCGAGCAGAGGUUCAUUGCAAGUUGUGUGUAGAUCUUUUACUAAAGGUUAACCACAAUUCAUUUGCUGGCGUUGCUGCUGCUGUUGUUGUUGCGUUGGCAGUGCGACAAAAGCACAAAUAACAACAUCAACAAACCCAACACAUACUUCAAUAACACUAUUGUAUGGCCUUAAAACGGAUAUAUAUACAAGUCGAGUGCAAGUUAAACUCUAAAAAAACUAUACAACUUUUAUUUUUUAUCUUACCGUGUAAGGCUCAUUGAGAAGCGACUUGGCCACAGAUGAUAGCUCAACGAAGUGGCUUAUCAUCAUCUCGUGGAAAUGUACAGCAGUAGCCAAACACUCGAAACGCGUGAUGUUGAUUCUGAAUGUGGAGGGAAAAAAACCGAAGAACACGGAGAAAAAUCCACGCGGCCACGGGGAGAAAGAGAGAAAAUUCAAACUCAAAAUAUACAAUCGGCGUCAAGGGUCGGGAUCGAACCCACGACCUCCUGUAAACGAGGCGAGGGAGUUAACAGCUCGUCACCGCGGCGCUCAAAUUAAGCGAAGUCUCCAAUCUGUAUUAACUUUCAUCCCUCUGACCUCUCUAUGAUGUAUGUGCUAUGAUGAAGGGUCAUUGUCUGAAACGUCGCCUAUUAUAUAUGUGUUCUCUAACACCCACAGCGCCAUUGACAAAUGUGCUGCGUGUUUUUUAAAAACUCAUUUAAAUGCAACUCGGCCAGCAGACAACAUCGCUUUACACGAAGUUAAUUAUCUUAUUUUAUUACAAUUGUCUUGAACGCGAACAUAUCCACCAGGCCGCAUCUACAGUCACAUUGGGUGUUGUGUUAAAAAAUACCCCUUCAAUAUGAAUACCUAUAUAGUAGUAUACAUUUGGCUUUUUUGUAUUUUUCUAUAUAUCAUAUAUUUGUUUGACUGUGUGUUCUAACGUGCAUGUAUUGCCUACAUCUCUUAAACAAACUCGCUUAAACAAAUACUGCUGCUUGAUAACGUUGGUCUGGACAUAUACUGAAAUAGGCUGAUUGACUUUUUAUUUAGGCAUACGCACUACUGGCAUCAAUCUCGUGCGAAUGACGAAGGGAUAUUGCCCGAAACGUCAGCCUCAUGUGGACGUUCCCUUUUAAGGCCUCAAAACACGGACGGUGUCACAUUUGUAUUUAUUUACACGUGGUAACAUUGCAGGAUCUCUGAUUUCGUUUAACUUUAUAGAGAACGCAAGAAGCGGUUCAAAGUUUAUAAGCAGCAUGCGCGCGUGUCUUUGAAAAACAAACAAAAAAACAUUCAGAAAUAAACUGACGCUUUAAGUUUGCAGGAUAACGAGCUUUUAAUACGCGUAGCCUAAUCGCCAUUCCAUUCGUGUGGCAUUAUGCAACGUAUUCAUUGUUUAGCAACGCGAUUGUGUGUCAAUCCACUGCUGGAUGAAGGCGUGUGGGGGGGGGGGGAGCUUGGGAUUGGAGGAUAUUUAACCAUACUUCACCACGCUGGUCAAACGCCGGUUGGUGAAGGUGAUGACUCUUGUUGGGUUUGUUCAU